CCUACGGGAGGCUGCAGUGGGGAAUAUUGCACAAUGGGGGAAACCCUGAUGCAGCGACGCCGCGUGAGUGAAGAAGUCAUUCGUUUUGUAAAGUUCUAUUAGCAGGGACGAAAAUAAUGGCACUUGAUUAUGAAUCCGCCACUAACAACUUGCCACCAGCCGCGGUAAUACGUAGGGGGUAAGCGUUAUCCGGAUUUACUGCGUGUAAUGGGAGCGUAGUCGGCAGUGCAAGUCUGGAGUGAAAGGCGGGGGCUCAACCCCCAGACUGCUCUGGAAACUGUACGGCUGGAGUGCUGGAGAGGUAAGUGGAAUUCCUAGUGUAGCGGUGAAAUGCGUAGAUAUUAGGAGGAACACCAGUGGCGAAGGCGGAUUACUGGACAGUAACUGACGUUGAGGUGCGAAAGCGUGGGGAGCAAACAGGAUUAGAUACCCGGGUAGUC
rnacentral:rRNA from 1 species